rfam:Picea glauca, whole genome shotgun sequence.
GGCGAUGCAUCUCGGUCGGAUGCAGAAUGGCUCAAGCUGGUCUGCCGCUUGACUCGAGGUGCAAACCAGCGCAGGUCGUUGCAUCGGCAUAAGCACGGGUGGAGUAUUUCCUAUUGGUUUGCCAUUUUGGUGGUUGAGGAAUGAAGCGUGCGCCCUUGGAGCAGGCCACUGUGCACCUGCACGCUUGUGGUGUUGGUUGGUGGGCUUUCCAUUCAACCCAUCUUAAAACAUGGACCAAGGAGUCUAACAUGUGUGCGAGUCGGUGGGUUUGUAAACCUGUGAGGCAUAAGGAAGAUGACGGGAGAGAACCCCUCUCCAUGGGGUGUAUUUCCAACCGACCUUGAGCUUGUGCGAAGGGUUCGAGUGUGAGCACACCUGUUGGGACUUGAAAGAUGGUGAACUAUGCCUGAGCAGGUCGAAGCCAGAGGAAACUCUGGUGGAGGCACAUAGAGAUACUCACAUGCAAAUCGUUCAUCUGACUUGGGUAUAGGGGCGAAAGACUAAUCGAACCAUCUAGUAGCUAGUUUCCUCCAAAGUUUCCCUCAGGAUAGUUGGAGCUCAUGUGCGAGUUUUAUCAGGUAAAGAAAAUGAUUAGAGGCAUUAGGGGCGUAACGCCCUCGACCUAUUCUCAAAAUUUAAAUAAGUAAGACGGUGCAGCUACUCCAUUGAUUUGUGUCACGGAAUCGAGAGCUCCAAGGGUUGGGCCUAGGGGUCUUCGUCCUCAAACUGUGGGCUGUCGGCAAUCUGCCCGAGAUGCUAUCAUGGCGAGGGAGGGAAGUCAUGUGCCAAUUGGGAUACGGACGUAGAAUGUCCUCUCGCGGGGGAUUUUCCCUAGGUGACAAAUAGUCGACUCAGAACUGGUACGGACAAGGGGAAUCCGACUAUUUAAUUAAAAAAAAGCAUUGCAAUGGUCCCUGUGGAUGCUGACACAAUGUGAUUUCUGCCUAGUGCUCUGAAUGUCAAAGUGAAGAAACUCAACCAAGCACGGGUAAACGGUGGGAGUAACUAUGACUCUCUUAAGGUAGCCAAAUGCCUCGUCAUAUAAUUAGUGAUGCACAUGAAUGGAUUAACGAGAUUCCCACUAUCCCUAUCUAUUAUCUAGUGAAACCACAACCAAGGGAACGGGCUUGGCGAAAUCAGCAUGGAAAGAAGACCCUGUUGAGCUUGACUCUAGUUCGACUUUGUGAAAUGACUUGAGAGGUGUAGAAUAAGUGGGAUUCCUUUUCGACGCAAGUGAAAUACCACUACUUUUAAGGUUAUUUUACUUAUUUUGUGGGGCGAAGACGGGUCAUUGCCCCUGUUUUUGGCCUUAAGACAUGUUUCGAUGGGUCGAUCUGGGCAGAAGACAUUGUGAGGUGGGGAGUUUGGCUGGGGUGGCACAUCUGUUAAAAGAUAAUGCAGGUGUCCUAAGAUGAGCUCAACGAGAACAAAAUUCUCGUGUGGAACAAAAGGGUAAAAUCUCAUUUGAUUUUGAUUUUCAGUACGAAUACAAACCAUGAAAGCGUGGCCUAUCGAUCCUUUAGAAUUUAAAAAUUUGAAGCUAGAGGUGUCAGAAAAGUUACCAUAGGGAUAACUGGCUUGUGGUAGCCAAGCGUUCAUAGCGAUGUUACUUUUUGAUCCUUUGAUGUCGGCUCUUCCUAUCAUUAUGAAGCAAAAUUCACCAAGUGUUGGAUUGUUCACCCACCAAUAAGGAACAUGAGAUGGGUUUAGAUCGUUGUGAGACAGGUUAUUUUUACCCUAAUGAUGAACCGCGCUGCAAUAGUAAUUCAACUUAGUAUGAGAGCAACCGUUGAUUCACACAAUUGGUCAUAGCGCUUGGUUGAAAAGCCAGUGGUGCAAAGCUACCGUGUGUCGAAUUAUGACUGAAUGCCUUUAAGUCAGAAUCCACGCUAGAAGCAAUGCUUGUCACUCCUCGAAUGUAUCUUGACCCAUAGUAGGGGUGUCACUUCGGCACCCCCAGGGGCCCAUGUCACCUGUGAACCUCGGCCGGGAAGCGUCUCAAUCGGGGCAGAUUUGAAGUUCAAUUUCAAAUGGUUGUUGAGAAGAAUCCUUUGCAGAUGACUUCAAUACGUGAUGGGGUAUUGUAAGUGGCAGAGUGGCCUUGCUGCCAUGAUCCACUAAGAUUCAUCCCUUCCUCGCCUCGGUUCAG